rnacentral:lncRNA from 1 species
AUGUUCCACCCUCACUCUCUCCCUUACGAUGGACUGCUGCUUCCGAAUCCGGGAAGUCCUUCUCGAAAGAGUCAUCUAAGGCUUUUCGACUUCAACUUGCCUUUAAGCCGGCCAGGCCAGACUGCUUCUUCGAGUGAGGACUUGCUCGGCCCAACUCGGUCCUCUCACUACCCGAAAUCCUUAUCUUAUCUAAUCUGGAUCAAGGAAUUUACCUUAAGAUCCAGCGCCUGCAGAAGUAAAGUGAUAGGAGAAGCUGCUGGUGGGAAACAUCUAUUCAUCACACCCCUCUCACCUGAGCCUCCUAGAAAGAACCUUGGUCUCCAAUCUGCAGAUGAGUGUCUUCCCUCUUAUCCCUUCCCCAUUGUUUGGGUUUAA